rnacentral:pre_miRNA from 1 species
GGGAGCCGGGUGGGGUGCUAGAGCACUGCUUCCGUGGGUGUCAGCUCUCGUUGGUGCUGGUGCUCGCGAAGGCCAACACCCUCCCUUCACCCUU